rnacentral:lncRNA from 1 species
UAACUGGUAGAGCUGUACUCCUUUGGCAUCUUCUAUACAUAAUAGUUAAGACUAUUAGUACUAGGACAAUACCAAUUGUUGGUAAACCAUACCUAAAAGCAUGCAAUAUAAUCAUUUGGGAGUUUUUGUGGAUGUCAUUUUUGCAAGGUGGGACUAGCAAUCUAGGUGGACCACAAAGUGCACAAUUAUUCAUGAAUGAUGUGCUAGAAAAGUUUGAAAAACAUCCUUUGCUGGGAAUUUCCCCUUCAAGUCUAUUGAAAGACACAUUAAAAUACUUUAGAUAUAAAAGCUUUUCCAAAGAUUUGGGAAUGACUCCAGAGAGAUUGUUAUUGCAUAAAUCCAAGAAUUCCAAACUAAUCAACCCAUCAAAUGAUUCAGGGAUAUGACCAUGUAGUAUAUUAUUUGAUAAAUCUAAUGAAACCAAAGUUUGAAGACCCCCAAAUGUGGAUAAGAUAUCGCCCAUGAGAAGAUUCCUUGAUAAAUUUAGUCUCAGUAGACUCCUAAAGUUUCCAACAUCAAUAGCAUGCGAAUUGUGAAGAUGGUUUGAUGAUAAAUCUAUUUCUAAGAUAUCUUUAAGAUUCCAUAAAGUUGAGGGUAUUGCGGAACUCAAUUUGUUGGAAUCUAACCAAAGAUAUCUCAAAGCAGAAAUAUUACCUAAACAAGAGGGUAUGGAUCCAUGCAGCUUAUUCAACCCUAAAUACAUCUUGAAUAGUCUCUCCAAACCACAGAGGCUUUCUGGGAUAGGCCCUUCUAAUUUAUUAGAGGAAAGAAAUAGACCUUGGAGAUUUAUCAUUCCUCCUAUUGAUGCUGGAAUCAAUCCACUUAAUUUAUUAUAGCCAAGUUGUAAAACCAACAUGUUGCUUAAGUUACCUAUUUCCAUAGGAAUAAUGCCUUGAAGCUCACACUCUGUGGCACGAAAGUAUUGAAGGGAUUUUGAAAGGUUCCCGAAAUAAGUAGGAAGAACGCCACUCAAUGGAUUUCCUGAAACAAUUAUUCUUUUCAAAUGCUUGCAAUUCGUCAAAGAAGAAAGAAAGCUCCACUCAUGAUCAGUAGCAGAUCCUGUGAUCAAAUUAUUGUUUACGAUUCCGAACCAUUCAAGGUGUCUUAAGCUGCCAAGCAUUUUAGGGAUUGGGCCAGAGAAUAAGUUUUCUGACAAGGAUAGAAUCUUAAGCAUGGAAGCAUUGGAGAUAGAGUUGGGAAUGUUUCCGCUAAGUUUAUUUCCCCACAGUAAAAGAAUCUGAAGCUUUGGAGCAUUGGUAAUGGGUGGUAAAUUACCUGUAAAAUAGCAUCUUUUAGAAAACAUAUUCAUUGAAUACCAAAUUCACAAAAUAUAUAAUACAUUAAAAUAAAAACUGUAAAACUUUAAAUCAAUUAAGAAUAAAAUUUUGGCAUGGAAAAAUGUGAUGAAAUCAAUUAGAAAGUUGAGACAUAAUAAGAAGUUUUGAGUAGUAAUUAGUCCUUGUGAUUUGUAUAGACAAAACAUAUAAUACACUGAUAAUUUUUUUAAAAUAUUGUAAAACCUGAAAUAAAAUAAAAAAUAAAAGUUUGGCACAAGAAUGUGGCAUCUAAUCAUUCUUAAAAAUAAGACUAACAUUAAAUAAUAAUUAGUUAUGAUUUGAGAAACAAAAAUGUUAAAGAUGUAAACUGGUAUGAUUUUUAUCUAUUGGGUUAAUUAUUUAUUUUUAUUAAAUUAUAUAUAGUGUAAAAUUUAAAGAUUAUUAUUUGCUCAAAAUUUUUGUAUUUUUCGUAUAUUUGAAAUUUAAUCUUUAUAUUUUUUUAUUUUCUGUGAUUUAGUCUCUCUACUUUUUAAAUUGAAAAUUUUAAGUUUAUUUAUUAACACUGUUAAAAAGUUUUUGUGUUAGUAUGGCAUUUUGAAAAAUAAAAUAAACUUGAUAUCUAUGUUUUUAAUUAUUCCAAAUACUGUUUUACUAUUCCAAGAUAAAUUAUUUGUGUCUAGACCAAUAUCUGAAGAACUAUUGUUGCAUGUUUAAUUAUUCUAAAGAAUUGUUGAUUGAGUCUUAGUUGAAGUGCACUAUUCUCCUAUUUAUGAAUUGGGGAGUUGAUAAAGUACUAAAUUUUGAUAUAUUUUAAAAAAUUAAAAAUUUAUUAAAAUAUUUUUAUAAAAAUUGAUUGUACCAAAAUAUACAAUUUUAAUAUCAAAUUUUUAAUUUUUUAAAAAUAUUAGCGAAUAUAUACUUUAUUUCAAGUUACACAAUUUUUACUAGUUUUUAACUUUUUUUUUAAAUUUUUAUCGUCUUUUAUAAUUUCAUAUAAUUUUUUAUAAUUUUUUACAAUAUUUACAAUUUCUAACAAUUUUUAAUAAUUUUAUUAUUUAUUAUAAAUUUAAAAAUUAACAAAUUUUUAUUUUUUUAAAACAAUUAUAUAUUUAUAAUGUAGUUAUUUUUUUAUAAUUUUUUUUGAAAUUUAAAGAUUUUUUUGGUUUUUUCUAGAUGAUGAUGCCAUCAUGAUGUCAUCAUAUGCCACAUGGCAAUUUAUAAUUAGUUGACUAUCUCAAUCUAUUUUUUUAACGUCCAAUGGACUAAAACAAGAACACCUGAUAAUGUUAGAGACUACACUAGGAAUGUUUGAUAAUAUUAGGUACUAAAGUGGGCAAAAAAAAUUAAGGACUAUAUUAAAAAUAUAUCUAUAAUAUAUAUAAAUGCAUGGAUUUUGAGAAACUUUUGAAAUGACAAAUAUAUAGUCUUUGUUUUUUUUUACUAUAUUAUUGAAUUUUUUAUUUUAAAUAUUUUUUUAUUACUUUUAAGAUUUAUCAUAUGUAUGGAUAAAAAUUUUGGUUUUACUAAAAUAUUUGGUUAAAUAAAUUCACUUUAUAAAAAAAUUUAGCAUCCUUAUAAAUAACAAUUUUGAUUCCAUUAAAAAAAUUAUUUAAUAAUAUAUAAUAAAAAUUUAAAAUUUAUAUUGAAUCACUUUAUACUUAAAUUAUUAUUAGAAACUUUAUCAUACACAUAUGUGUAUGAGAACCACGUUUUCAGAACUUAAAUUUGUGUUCUAAAAUAACUUAUGAUAAAUAAUUAAAUGUAUAAUUUGAAAUUAUAUUGAAAUAAAAAUAGAUUAAAUUGUAAGUAAAACAUAUAUAAUUUAAACAUAUGAAUACAUCAAAUUAAAAAUACUAAAUGAAUACAUUUAUUUAUGAUGAUGUUGUUGUCAAUUCAUAAGUUGGUGUCGAGUUAAUUUGUGACAUCAUAAUUUUAAGUGAUAAAUUUAAGGUUUUAUGUAUUGAUGUCGAUUCAAAUAUCACCAUAAUUUUUUUAAAUAAAAAACUAAAGCACCCUCAAAUAAUAUAACUUAUAUUAAAUAUGAAAGGGUAUUUUUGUAAUUUCUCUAACGAGUUGGUGCCCGGUUGACUCAUGACACCAACUCAAUCAAAAGCUUCAAUAAUAAUAUAGAUAUUCACGUUUAAAAAAAGUACUUUAGUUCGAAAUAAUUAUAUAACAAGUAAUUUUAUAAUUGAUGAAUAAUUUUAUAAAAAUAUAUUUAUAUAAUCUAAUAUAUUAUAUUUAUAUUAAUUAUAUAUCAUCUACAAACUUUGAAGAUCAAUUUAUUAAGUAUCAGGAAAAGAAAAAAUGAAAUUGAAUUAACACUAAAUCAAUUUUUAGAUUUUGUACAGAUGAUUUAAUGAUGAUAAAAACAUUAUUAGCACUAUUUUUGAAUUAACAAAAAAUUAGUGAUAUAUUUUAAUUAUAUUUUUUAUUUUUUAUUUUUAAUAAUAUUUUUUUAAUUAUAUGAAGUAAAAUUAUAUUGUAUACUAAAUAUGGUACAUAUACUUUAAUUAAAACUUGAAAAAUUAUUAUAUAAAUUAAUAUAUUUUAAUUAUAUUCAACCAUUUGAAUAACAAAAUUAAAAAAAACUAAUUAGAAUUAUUUACUUUUUAAAGUUUAAUGGAAAAUAAAAAAUUAAAAAUAAAUCAAUUCAUAUAAAUCUUAUUGUUUAUUAUCAGAUUAAAAUGAUAAAAGUAUAUGACAUACAUAGAAGAAACAAAUUCAACACAAUGUUUUUGGAGUUUGGAAAAAAUUAAAGUGAAAAACAUACCUUCUAAUUUGUUGUUAAAUAGAUCUAUUUCUUCGAGCGUAGUUGAAUUAAAAAUACUUGAUGGAAUCUGACCUGCACACAUAGUCGAAAAUUGAAGUGAAAUCAAACUCUUUUGUGAAAAAAAUAUUACCAGAUAAUUCAUUCCAACCCAGGUAAAGCCCUUCAAGCUUGGGAAGAUGUUGACACAUAUCAUUAAGCAAACUACCUGAUAGGCUAUUGUUGGAGAGAUCAAUGGUCUUCAGAGAAGAAAUGUUGAAGAUCGAAGUUGGAAUCUGACCUGUAAGGCCUUUAAUUGCUUUAAUACUAAGCAUCUCCAAACCAAGAAGAUUACCGAUUUCCUCGGGAAUUUGACCUGCACACAUAGUCAAAAAAUCAAGGUGUCAAACUAUCUAUUUUGUUAGCAUAAGUCAAAGAGGUUUUCUUUUCUGUUCUACAGUAAUUUGAAGAUGUUAGAUUUUAAUAUAUUUCAGCAUAUGUUUUUCAUCAAAUGAAAUAAAAAGUUUUUCCUUUUUAUUAUCUAUUACAAGUCAAACUCUUUUAUAAAAAAAAAUACUUUAAAUUCAAGAAAUCAAGGAAAUUGAUUACCUUCUAGAUUAUUAAACCGCAAAUAUAAUUCCAGGAGUCGUGUUAGAUUUCCAAUACUUCUUGGAAUGAUCCCCGUCAAUUGAUUCAAGGACAAGGACAAAUUUUUAAGGUUGCUGCAUUUUCCCAUACUUGACGGAAUGUUACCAGAUAACUCGUUGCUAUGCAAGUAAAGCACUUCAAGCUUGGGAAGAUGUUGACACAUAUCAUUAGGCAAACUACCUGAUAGGCUAUUGUUGGAGAGAACAAUGGUCUUCAGAGCAGAAAUGUUGAAGAUCGAAGUUGGAAUCUGACCUGUAAGGCCUUUAAUUGCUUGAAUAUUAAGCAUUUCCAAACCAAGAAGAUUACCGAUUUCCUCAGGAAUUUGACCUGCACACAUGGUCGAAAAAUCAAGGUGUCAAACUACCUAUUUUGUUAGCAUAAGUCAAAGAGGUUUUCUUUUCUGUUCUACAGUAAUUUGAAGAUGUUAGAUUUUAAUAUAUUUCAGCAUAUGUUUUUCAUCAAAUGAAAUAAAAAGUUUUUCCUUUUUAUUAUCUAUUACAAGUCAAACUCUUUUAUAAAAAAAAUACUUUAAAUUCAAGAAAUCAAGGAAAUUGAUUACCUUCUAGAUUAUUAAACCCCAAAUAUAAUUCCAGGAGUCGUGUUAGAUUUCCAAUACUUCUUGGAAUGAUCCCCGUCAAUUGAUUCAAGGACAAGGACAAAUUUUUAAGGUUGCUGCAUUUUCCCAUACUUGACGGAAUGUUACUAGAUAACUCGUUGCUAUGCAAGUAAAGCACUUCAAGCUUGGGAAGAUGUUGACACAUAUCAUUAGGCAAACUAUCUGAUAGGCUAUUGUUGGAGAGAACAAUGGUCUUCAGAGCAGAAAUGUUGAAGAUCGAAGUUGGAAUCUGACCUGUAAGGCCUUUAAUUGCUUGAAUAUUAAGCAUUUCCAAACCAAGAAGAUUACCGAUUUCCUCAGGAAUUUGACCUGCACACAUGGUCGAAAAAUCAAGGUGUCAAACUACCUAUUUUGUUAGCAUAAGUCAAAGAGGUUUUCUUUUCUGUUCUACAGUAAUUUGAAGAUGUUAGAUUUUAAUAUAUUUCAGCAUAUGUUUUUCAUCAAAUGAAAUAAAAAGUUUUUCCUUUUUAUUAUCUAUUACAAGUCAAACUCUUUUAUAAAAAAAAUACUUUAAAUUCAAGAAAUCAAGGAAAUUGAUUACCUUCUAGAUUAUUAAACCCCAAAUAUAAUUCCAGGAGUCGUGUUAGAUUUCCAAUACUUCUUGGAAUGAUCCCCAUAAAUUGAUUAUAGGAGAAGGACAAUUUUUUUAAGUUGCUGCAUUUGCCCAUACUUGACGGAAUGUUACUAGAUAAAUCAUUCCGACUCAGGUGAAGCCCUUCAAGCUUGGGAAGAUAUUGACACAUAUCAUUAGGCAAACUACCUGAUAGGCUAUUGCUGGAGAUAUCAAUAAUCUUCAGAGAAGAAAUCUUUAAGAUGGAAGAUGGAACCUGACCAGAUAAUUGAUUGAAUCCCAAGUUUAAGAUCACUAGAUUAGACAUGUUAACAAGUGUUUCAGGGAUUGUGCCUGUAAAGUUAUUAUUUUUCAUUUUUAGCCUUCGAACUCUCUGUAAGUUCCCAAGCCAUGAUGGAAUUUCCCCAUUCAGACGGUUGUAGCUUAAUUGAAGGAUCCUCAAACGAUGCAAUUGGCCCAAUUCUUUAGGGAGAUGGCCAUAGAAAUGGUUGCUACUCAAGUCGAGAGAGAGUAGAAAUGAAAGAUUUCCAAGGUGUGGAGGGAUAGUACCCCUAAGAUUCAUGCUUGUAAGAUUCAAAGCUAUAACUCUUUUAUGGAGGAUGCCACAAGAAACACCAGUCCAAUUGCAAACAGAGGUUGAGGCCAUCCAAUUGUCUGCCAAGACAUUUUGAGGAUCGGCAAUGCGAUCCUUAAACUCGAGAAGUGCAAAUUGAUCGGAGUUGAGAUUCUUGGCUGUCAUAGCCAAGCAAAGUACGGAACAUGAUAUGAAUAAAGCUAAGAGAAGAUGAAAGCAAGUUUUGUAGUUCAUGAUUGCAAGACGGAAUAAGGCAAGAAAAUAAAAAAAGUAGGAAAAGGGAAGUUGAGUUGAUAAAAUAGUUUGGAUGAUGAAGAAAAGCCCAGAGAGCAUACUUUAAUAUGUUUCAACCCUCGCACACUUGAUAAACUUGAUAAAUAUAUUUUGAUCUAAUAAAUGUAAAAAACUUUUUAAACAAAAUAAGGUUGAAAUAAUCUAUUUGUCCUUAUACUUUGAUAAAAUUUGAGAUUUAGUCCUUAUACUUAAAAGGAUAAAAGUGUUGUAGUUCUUGUUGUUUUUAUUUAAAAAUCUUAGUCCUAUCGUUAAUUUUUUGGGUCAAAAUUUGUCAACUGUACAUAUUAAUUAGGUUUCCCUUAUAUGUUGUUGUAUAUGACUAACACAAAAUAAGCAAGUUGACAAAUUAUGACAAAAAUAAUCAAAGAUGAUAAUAAUUUAAUUAAAAUUUUCAAAUUGAAUUAAUAACCUUUAACAUAUAAGGAAUGGAUAUCAAAUAUUUAUAGGAAAAAAGGGACUAACAACAUAUUUUAACCACAAAAUAAUAUGAGUGAUUAGAAUGAAUCUAAAAGAGACUAACAACAUAUUGAUAACUUUGAAAUCUCCUUCGAUCAUCCUUUUUCUACGUAGAAAAUGAAAAUUAAUUAGCAUCUAAAGUGUCAAUUAAUGAAACCUUCAAAAGAAAAUGUGAAAGUGAUUUAUCAAAAAAUAAUAUUUUAACUUAUAAAAUAUUUAAUUACAUUUAGUAAUUUAUCAAUCAAAAUUUAAUUAACAUCCAUCAAUACUUCAUACAUAAGUAAAUUUACCAUUUAACUCAGAUUUAACUUUGCAAGUAAACUUAAAAUUUUAUUUAAUUUUGUCACUAAAUUUAAUUUGUUCAAUAUAGAUUUUGGUGACUUAAAACAAAAUUAAUAAAAAAUUAUAUUCUUUCAGACAUCUUUUUAAUGUUUAAUAAUAAAAUAAUUUAUAAAAUAUACUUUCAUUGGACACAAGCAAGGCGAUGAACCACUGACCAAAUUAAUUUGGAUAUAUCUUUUUUCCAAAUAAAGUGAAUUUACGAGUUUUGUUUUUUUUUUAAUAUUUUUGUGGAUAUCAAGUGAUACCAAAAAUUAUUUCACUAAGAAAUUUUAAUUCACUUGAAAAGUUAGUGUUUUAUUUCAAGGGGUCAUAAUUAUAAAUUUUAAAUUUUUUGACAAUUGUGUAAUUAAUAAAUACCAAUUUUGACUGUUGUAGGGCUAGUACAAUCUCCCUUACGCAUAACCGACUCUUGAACCUACUAUUUUCUCUAGAAUUUAACGCAGACCUUAAAUUUAUCUUUUAAAAAGAAUUUUAAAAUCUCUAUAUAAAAGGUGUAAAAAUAUAUAUUUUAUUAAUUACUAUAUAUUAUUUUAUUUUCAGAAUAAUAAAUAGUUUAAAAUAUGCUGCUAGUCCCUAUAGUUUAAAAGUUAAAAAGUUUUUGGCAUCUUGAGUGCAUCAAAUUUCUCCUUUUAUUAUUAAAUGUUUUAUUUUAGUUACUCUAAUUAAAUAUAUCCAAAUUGUAAUAGAGUUAAUAUUUAUUAUAUAAAAAAAUAUUUUAAUUUUUUUUCAAUUGUAGUUUAAUUCUAGUAGAAAUAUUUCAUUUAUAAAAUCAUAAAACUUUAAAAUAUUAACUUUGUUAAAUAAAAAAUGAUUUUUUUAAACUGUAAAUUUUGACUUUAUUAACCCAAAUGGGUCUUUAGGGUUAAACUUCAGUAAUUGACGAGCUCUUCCACAAACUGUGGAUGAUUUGGGGAUAAAAACUUCAAUAAUUCUAGAGUUAAAGUGUAAAUUUACUACUAUAUUAUAAGUAAAUAUUGAAAUUUAUCACUAAAUUUUAAUUGAUACUUGUCAUUACACUUUGAAAAUAUAAGUAAAUUUAUCAUUUAACUCAUAUGUGAUUGAAGUUUGCAAGUAAACUUAAAAUUUUAUUUAAUUUUGUCACUAAAUUUGAUUUAUUUAAUUAUAUUUACAACUCAAUAUAGAUUUGGUGACUUAAAACAAAAUUAAUAAAAAAACUAUUCUUUCAGAUAACUUUUAAUGUUAACUAAUAAGUUGAUUUAUAAAAUAUACUUUCAUUGGACACAAGCAUCCAAGGCGGUGAACAAACCACUGGUCAAAUUAAUUUGGAGAUAUCCUUUUUGCGUUUUUCUUUUUUUUUAAAAAUAUUUUUAAUAUUUUUGUGGAUAUCUCCAAAUACCAAAAAUUAUUUCACUAAGGAAUUAAUUAGUAUUUUAAGGGUUCACAAUUAAACUUUAGACUUUUUAUUUUUAAAUUUGGAAUUUUUUGACAAUUGCAUAAUUAACAAGUACUAAUUUAGAGUGUUGCAGGAUUAUUACAACCUUCCCUACACGUAACAGACUCUUGAACCUACUUUUUUCUCUAGAACUCAAUGCAAACCUCAAAUUUAUCUUUUUAAAAGAAUUUUAAAAUAUCUAUAUAAAAGGUGAUUUUUUUACCGAUCACACUUAACAAAAUUUUAAAAAUUAUUAAUUUCUUUUUGAAAUUUAAAGUGAUCUAAAACUAUAUUUUUAAGUGCUUUAGACCAUGCGGUGCUGAUUUCUUUAUUGUAUUAAAUGCUUGCAAUCACUCCUUGUAUCUUAUACUUGAGUUGUAACAAAACCAAUUGUCACGUGUCAUAAUGUUCUACUGAUGCUGAAACUGAAGUUUUUGUUAUAUUAAUAGAGCUUGUCCUUCAACGCGUAUAACAAGUGUUUGUUAUUUUUUCCUUCAAAUUGUAUGAUCUCAUUCAUUAAAUAAAUUAAUGAAUUUCCCUUUAAAAAAUAUAAUUUUAAAAAUUAAAUACUUUAUAAGAUAUUUAAAACUAUUUAAAAAAUUGUAAGCGUUAAAACAAUCAACAAGAUAUAUUUUUCUUUAAAAAAUCAAUAAAAAUAUGUUUAAAAUUUUAUAUGAAAUUAAAAAUUUUUUAACAAUAAUAUAUUUUAAAAUUAUUUACACCUUUUUUUAUAUAUUUUUCCUAACAUAUCGUUAUUUUCAACACUAUCGUAAUCCUAUUUUGAUAAUUCCCUUUCCAUACAUCCUUUUUCUACAUAGAAUUUCAAAAGAAAAUGUGAAUUAAUGCAGACUUGAGAAGACCUAGAGGUAAGUCACCCAAUGAAACUGACCUAAACCGACUUAUGGACCAAUCAAACAAUAAUUUUGUAUCUCAUAAUAUAUUUAAUUACAUUAAUUAGCUUAUCAAUCAAAACUUAAUUAAAAUCCAUCAAUAAAGUUGCUGAUUGUAUGGCUAAGGCAUAUGGAGGCAUAAUUGAGCAGCUGGUUAUCUUGGAAGAUCCUUCGCGUUAUGUAAGAUAUUGGCUUGAAGGAGAUAUUAGACAGUCGUUGGUCACUGAUGAUAAAUUUCAUUUGGAUUGAAGCAGGCUUAAUUUUCUAAGUUUAUGUUCAACCAGAAAAAAAAUCUAAAUUGUAAUAGAAUUAACAUUUAGUGUAUAAAAAAUAUCUUAAAAAUUAUUUUUUCAAUUGCAAUUCAAUUCCACAAAUACUGACGAUGAACCCUGAAACGGACAUGAAAAUUACAAAAAGAAAAAAAGCACAUCUAUUAUCAAACCAGCAAUCCAUGCCUAAACUGAGAGAGAUGAACCCUAUGAUAGAUUGUGACACCCCAAAGUCGACCGGGAUAGAUCGGCCCGAAUUCGAAGCAUUACAUUAGCCACCUAAAUGACUCUCUAGCUAACGACCACCCAAGACACACCCCGACCUUAUAACACCUCAAUCUUAUCUAAUUAUUAGUUAUUUAUUAAUACCAAAGUAAAUUAUGAGCCAAUUUUAAACUUUUCCUAGGUAAUUUAACCUACGGGCAUUUACGUUAUUUUACCACCUAUGGUAAAACUAACCCGAUUUUAGAUCUAAGUGUUUACUGGCCUUCUUUUAGUCAAAUUAUGCAAGGUUAAAAUUUUUAGGUGAUUUUGAGUUCAUUUACUAUGUCUAAUUCAAGUUUUAUUAUUUAGGACUAAAUUGUAACUUAAACAAAUUUGAAUACCAAUUUAAAGAGACAAAAAUUUAAAACCCCCAAAACCACACGAGCAUGUAGGUAAAUGACACGGGAGUGUGGAAACUGGAGCAAUCACACACAGGCGUGUGGGAUUGAAAAAUAUGAAAUAAAUUAAUUAUGGUGUUAAAUUCUUCCAUCAAUUGUACAUAAUUUUGAUUGGUAUAGUAAUAAAUUUAGCCUUCAAUGUUUAAAUAUUUUGUCAUUUUGGCCUUAAUUUUAAAAAAAAAUUCAAGAAAUUCAACCUCAACAUUCACAUAUUUACACAAACGUUGCGGGAAAUUUUUGUUAAAUUAAGACCAAAUUGCAAGUAUAAAUUUUGAGGGCUAAAUUUAUUAUUAUACCAACAAAAACCAUGUACAUUUUAUGGAAAAUUAACAUCCUGAUUAAUUAUUCUUAGUAGCUCACUUUCAAAAUUAAUAGGGACUAAAUUGCUCUGAUUUUUUAAGGGUGACCAAUUUCUUCAAUUUGGAAAUUGAGAGAGACUAUUCAGAUAUUUUACAUAUUUUUUAUAAAUAUAUUUUUUUAAUAUAAAAUAUAGUUGUUCACACACAUCGUGAGUAUGAUAAAAUAUUUUUAUUGUUGAUUGAAUUGGUGUCAAAAAUUAACUCGAGACCAACUCAAGAUUAAGAAUAACAAUAUGAUAAAUAAUUUAUUUAUUUAAUAUUCUGAAUUUAAAAUAUUGAUGUAAAUUUUAAGACAUGCAUGUCUUGUAGAAUUGAGAUUAUACUUUUUGAGUAUUGAGUCAGUUUUCCACAAUUGUGGGUCUCUAUUUGAGCAACACAAUUUCAACAUUUCUUCAUCUCGCUUAAUCCAAAUGCAUUUAGGAUUUUUUUUUUUAUAUCAUUGUUUCAAAAACGAUAAAAAAAAAAGUGGACAUUGAAUUUUCUGUUUCACAUUCAAUUUUUGGAGAAGUAGAAUUUUCUAACUUAUUUUCCAUCAACUUCACUUCAAUUUUCAAUCACAAUCUAUUGCAUUCAAGAGCACCACAUCAUUUUGGAUGAAACAAACCUCUCAAUUUUAAGAUAAACGGAAUCUAUUGCAUUCAAGAGCACCACAUCUUUUUGGAUGAAACAAAGCUCUCAAUUUUAAGAUAAACGGGUCUUUAGGGUUAUUAAUUAAGGGCAUUUUCCACAAUUGGCAUCGUUAUUUGCGGGUGAUUCGGGGAUAAUAACAUCAACAUUUCUGUAUCACAUUUAAUUCAAUUCCACAUUUAAGUUUUAAUUUUUAGAGAGAUGAUUGGGUUACAACAAUGGUUUGAAGUGAAGAUAUUUCAAAAGAAGGCAAAUAUAUCAAUUUUUUAAGGGGUCUUUGGAGUUAUAUGUGACUUUAGCAUUAUUGACCGACUUUUUUAUAGUUAAUCUUUUAUAAUAAGUUAAUUAUAUCAAUUUUAAUAACAUCGACAUGUUUUUUAGUAGGGUCGAUCAAAACCCAAUUAAAACCUUUCAUCACUGCAAAAAUGAAAAUAAUAGAAAUGAAAGACUAGCCAUUGUAUGAGAUUUAUAAUUGUAACUGUCAACGAAAUUGGGAGAAAUUUUUAAAUUUUAUGAAAUUUUAAAAUUAAACUGUCAAUAAUAGAAAAUUGCCUGAGUGACUUGGGAUAAGAGCUUGAACAUUUCUGGAUCACAUUACAUUUAAGAUGGGUCUUUAAGGUUAUACUUUAGUUUUUGAGAACAUUUUCCACAAUUUGCCAUCGUUAUUUGUGGGGUAAGUGGUUGAACACUUCUGGAUCACAUUGCAUUUAGGACGGGUAUCAUUCAUAGACUGACUUUUCUAUAAUUAGUCCUUGCUUUACUUUAGGUGGAUUCUUCCAACUAGUCCAAGAAUUAUUGUACAGUUACAUUUAAUCUUUUUAAAUGAGACAAACAUUUCAAAUUUGUCGUUACUAUUUGUGAGUAAUUUGGGGGUAAGAAGUUUAACACUUCUGGAUGUCUUAUAGAAUUGUGAUUAUACUUUUUGAGUAUUGACUCAGUUGUCCACAAUUGUGGGUCUCUAUUUGAGCAAAACAAUUUCAACAUUUCUCCAUCUCGUUUAAUCCAAAUGCAUUUAUGCAUUUCUUAUAUCAUUGAAUUUGCUGUUUCACAUUCAAAAAUUGGACAAGUAGAAUUUUCUAACCUAUUUUCCGUUAACUUCACUUGAAUUUUCAAUCACAAUCAAUUGCAUUCAAGAGCACCACAUCUUUUUGGAUAAAACAAAACUUUCAAUUUUAAGGUAAACGGGUCUUUAGGGUUAUACGGGGGCCUUUUCCACAAUUGCCAUCAUUAUUUGCGGGUGAUUUUGGGAUAAUAACUCGAAUAUUUCUGGAUCACAUUUAAUUCAAUUUUUAAAUUUUAGAGAGAUGUUUGGGUUACAACAAUUUUCAUCAUUAAGUUUAAUAGAACAUUUGGGAGGAAAAAGAGCAAAAAAAUGAGCGAAAACCGAAAAAUGGGGGCAAAGUAUAGGACCCACACUAGCUGACCUAUUCCACUUGACUGUGCAUCAAUUUCGUAGAUUUGCACUUUGACCUACAAAAAAAUACGAAUUUUAGGCUUUUCGGGCAUUCUAAGAUGUACAUAUGACAAAAAUAAAAAGAUAUAAGAGAACCUUUUAGAAUAUUCAAGAAAACAACUCCAAAGACACCACUAAAGCCGACUCUGAAGCAAAUUUUCAUUAAGAUGGAAGAUUCCUAAUUGACCACUAAAGCCGACUCUAAAGCAGACUUUCAUUAAAAUGGAAGAUUCCUAAUUGAUUUCUUAGGAGAUUAUCAUGAGUUUCUUUAUUCCUUUCAAUUAUACUACCCUUUGGAUGUUUUUAUUUUUAAUCAUGAACUAAUUUUCUAAAUACCUAAGAGAGAUAAACCCUAUGAUAGAUUGUGACACCCCAAAGCUGACCUGGACAACCGACCCAAAUUCGAAACAUUACAUUAGCCAUCUAAGUGACUUUCUAGCUAACGACCAGCCAAGACACACCCUAACCUUAUUGUACAAGCCCAAUUUUGACCAAGACCAAACCAAAUAAAUUAACAGUCCAUAAGAGUCCAAAUUACAACUAGCCUGAUAUGGCCCAAAUAAAAAACAACAACCCAAGCCCAAACCCAACCCUCGUAGCCCAAAGCCCACAAACUAAAAAAUUUCAGCAGAAAAAAGAAAGUUGCUAACCCUACGCGCCAUGCCUGGGUCCUCUGCCACUGACCGCAUGCCUCUGCCACCGUAUCUCACAGCCUCUGCCACGCCUCUGCUGCCUACAAGAAACCAACAAAGCACAAAAUGACAACAGCAAUAGAGGUCAAAUCGAAAAACAACAAAAAAUAGAUUACGAAUCAUUUAGAUUGGCUAUAAAGGCCGAAAUAUUAACCUUGUAAUGCUUCUUCUUUUUUUUUGACGAACAUUAGAAAAAUAAAAAACAGAAAACAAGUUUAGAAGGUAGAUUUUUUUCAUUUUCAAAUUUGCAUUUCUUUUCCCUGUGUAUUUUCUUUUCUUCUAUUUUUUUUUACAUGCAACUAGUAAGAACAAAGAAAGAGAAAGAAAAACCUCGCCUGGAAUAGCCCCUCAAGUCCGGUCGUCGAAGGCCCUUUUCCUGUUGUCAAAAUCGAACCUAAAAAGGGGGCUAGGGUGCCCUCUCCUGGUCUUUUAGGGCAACAUCGGCCACCAGUCAGGUGGCACUACGGCGGCGCUCACGGCCAAAACCGUAGGCCGAGCGGGGUGGGGGUUUGAGAGAGGGAGCUCUCUGAAAUUUUUUUAAACAAAUGGGAUGAAACUGAUUUUCUUUGGGUUUUUUUUUAUUUCAUACUAAGUAUGAAACGGCGACGUUUUGGGCUUAAGCAGCCAUGGCCAAAACGACGCCAUUUUACGUCGUUUCCCCUAUACCCACGCGCGCGACCCGACCCACCAGGGGAUCCGCAUGUUUUUGCUCUGAGGGGAUAUUUGCGCAAUCUGCCCCUACGCCUUUUUGACGUAUUCAAUUCGGUUUUUUAUUAUUUUUUAUUUUAGCCAUGUAUUUUUGCUUCCGAUUCAAGUUGGUCCUUAGACCAUGUGUUGUUCCACAGUUAAAACGCCGCACUUUAGGAUUGGGGAAUAUUUCCCUGAAAGUCCCUCGCGCUUUGAGUGCGUUUCAUUUCGGUCCCGAGCCACCCCUUUUAUUUAUUUGCAAUUUAGACCGCGAGUUCUAAUCCGAUUUCAAUUUAAUCCUUAUUCCAUGUAAUUAUUUUAUUUUCUUUUUCUUUAAAAAUUAAUUUUUUUAUUUAUAAAAAGGACCUCUUUUAUUAUUAUUAUUUAUUUUAAGUUUUACAUAUAUUAUUUAUUUUAAAUGUUUUGCCUAAUAUUUACUUAAUUUUUUUAUUAUAUUAUUUUUUUAAACUACUAUAUAUAUUGCCUCUUAGAAUUUAUAUAUAUAUAUAUUAUUUUAAUAAAAAAUAAAGAAUACUGUUUUUAAUUAUUUUAAACUAUCUUAGUAUUUUUUUUUUCAUUUUAAAGUUUUAUAUUGUUUGUUUGAGACAUUUUGCCAUACAUUUCGAGUUCAUCUCAUAAGUUAUUUGUCUUAUACUAUUACCUACAUAAAAUUGUUCUUUAUUAUUUCAUUUCGUUUGCUUGGACUAUUAAUAUUGAUAUGUUAAAAUGUUGCACGUGGUGUGAUUAUUAUCAUUAUGUACGUUGUAAUUAGUUUAUUUUUUUCGCAUUAUUGCCAUUAUGUGUAUUAUUCCGUUUACUCGUAUUUCCAUGCUAUGGUAAUUCAUUCGUAUAUCAUGUUGUUCGAAAAUUAUUUCACCAUAUUAUAAAUUGUCACCCCAUCAACGCAACCCUUUUGUUCACGCAUUAUUUCAAACAUUACAUUUUUUACCCAAACAUGCAAAAAUGAAAUUUUCAAAUAAGGCAAUAUUUUGUGUAUUGGCGAUUCGAGAAAAUUGUAUCCUAACUUACGGGGUUUCAGUCUUUCUCAUUAAAACUAAUAGCAAAAUACCAUUUUUAAAAUAUCAAAAAAAUGAUGAAAGGAACCUAAAUAAGGCAAUAUUUUGCGUUUGGAAAUUCGAGAAAAUGUACCCUAACGUGCUAGGUUUCGAUUCUUUCGUUUAACCAAAUAGCCAAAUAUUCUCUUAAAAUUUCAAAGUAUGGGUUUUGGAACUGUCGAAACCACUUUUUUUGAAAAACAAAAAAAUUAGUUGUCGACUUUAACAACGAGAAUUGGAGUCAGAGUCGCCACUGAUCUUUUAAUGAGGUGUGAUCGGAUCACCUUGAAAACAAUUUUAGGUCUGCGAAUUUUGAGAAAAUUGAUUCGGGAGUCGGUUACACACGAGGAAGGGUUAGCACCCAUGUAACGCCCAAAAUUGGUACCGAAUUGAUUGUUUAAUGUCUUAGUGUCGAGAAUUUGAAAAGAUUUUAAAAUACAAUCCUUUGAAAAGAAAAUUUGAAUAAGAUGAAUUGGAUGAUGAGACUCACUUAUUUCAAAGAAAUAAAUUGUCACACUCAGUAAGUUAGAAUGCAACAUUUUAAAUCCUCAAAAUUAAGUUUAUCUUUUGACUUUUAAAACCUAUGCAUUUUGAGAAGGAUAUCCGAUUAUUUGGGUCAAAUGAAAAAAUCAAAACCCAAUAAGUUAGGGUUCGAUUUCACAAAAUUCCUAAAUAUCGAAUAUUGCCUUAAUUUUCAUAUAUUAGAAAAAUCCUCGCCUUGAGAAAACAACAUGUCAUAUCCAAUGCGUUAGGACACAACGCAUCGAAUUCCCGAGAAUGAGCUUUUUGUUUAUGUGUUUUAAUUAAAGAAUAAUCUCGAUUAUUUAGAUUCGAUGAGGAAAAUUGGAACCCAAUACGUUAGGGCUCAAUUCUUUCAAAAAUCUCAAAUUCCGAGUGUCGCGUUAUUUUAACAAAACUUUUUGAAUAAAAAUGCUCUCAAUAUUUGAAUGAUAUUAAACGUAAUAUUUUGACAAAUAAAAACCAUGAAAUAAUAACGUACAACGCGAAAUGGUGAUUCAUAAAUUAAUGUACGCUAAUGAACGACAAAGAAUCGAUAGAUACGAGCAAGCAAUACAAUACACGUAAGAGCAAUUAUCUCACAUCAUAUACAAAUAAUAACUUUAAUAUUCAAAAGCUAAUGAACUAAAAACUAAUCUUAAACGAAGCUCCAAGCGAAUUAAUACAAAAAUAUGCAACAAGAUUUGAAGAAUAAAAUAACAUGAAGGAAGGGAAAAUAUAUUUAAAAUAAAUCAUAUAUAUAUAUAUAGAAAUUUGAAGUAAAUUAAAAAUAAGGUUAAAAAUAAAUACUACAUAAAAUAAUAGUAUCCAAAUAAAUUUUAAAACAAAUAUCAUAUAAGAAGAAAAUCAAAUACAUAAAAUAAUAUACAUAUAUUAAUUUAAGAUAAGUAAUAUAUAGGGAGUGAAAAGCUUCAUGUAAGUAAUAAUAUAUGCUAAUAUGCAAAAAGUGAAAUAAACUAAAUAUAUGCGGAUAUUUAAAAGAAGUAAAGUAUCUAUAUAUAGCAAUAGGUAUAAAAAAUAUAUAUAGUUUAAAAUUAAAUAAUAUAUACAUUACGUACAUACAUAUAUGUAUAAUAAAAAUAGUUUAAAAAUAGUAACAAAUAAUAAUGAUAAGUAAUAUAUAUAAAUAGGUAAAUAGAAAUGUAAUCAAAUAUAAUAAUGAUAACAAUAAUAAAUAGUAAUAAAAAUAAUAAUAGUAAAUUAAUUAAUAGCAAAAAAUAUCAAUUAGGACUAAAUUGGAAUGAAAAUAGAAAUUUUGGGGCCAAUCCGCAAUAAAUAAAAACAAAAAGGGGCCGAAUUGGGUGCGCGAGGAACAAUGAGGGAGUAAAGCGGAAACUCCAAAACGCUGCAUUGCGGCAUGGACUAAAAUAAAACGAAAAUCAAAUUAAAGGGCGAAAAUUAAAAAGAAAAGAAUCGAUUCGAACAUGCCACAAAAGAGAGAGGACCAUUUGCGCAAAUCUCCCAACAGAGGCCAAAACGCGCGGAUCCUUCCCCGGGUCGGGUCACCGCACGGGUCAUGAGCUACCAAACGGUGUCAUUUUUGACGUAUGGAUAACGUAAAACGGUGUCGUAUUACACUAUUAUUUAAACAAGGUUUUAAAUAAAAAAACAAAAAAAGACAAAUGCUGCCUACGUUUUAAAAAAAAACUGCUUGUUCUUUGCUAGGGUUUUGCCCUAGCUUCUGCGCCGCUCGAACGUACUGCCGUUCAGAAACUUACAAUCCUCGUCCAAACUCCAAUCGCAAUGAAGCGAACAAGGGUGCGACGGCCACCCUAAAGGUAAAUCUUCACUUCUCUUUUCUCUUUUAUUAUUUUCGCAUAAAAACGAAGCGAAUAAGUAAAAUAAAAUAAAAUAAAUAUGAGAAUCACCUUAAAAAACAAUGAUAUUCGAUUUCUUUUUUCUCUUUUUUGUAUUUAGUAUUCGUAACCGUUUACAGAUUUGGUUGGCUCUUUUUAUAGAUGAAAUUAGUGAGAAAGAGAAAAAAAAUCGAAGAAUAUUUUUUUUACAUUUUUCCUUAUUUACUGCUAUCUUCUCUUAUUUGCUAUCGAUUUCUGCUCUUUUUGUUUGCUUGUCCUUCUUGCAGUUAUGGCAUACGGAGGGUGGACGUGGUGGCCACAAAGGCGCGCGUGAGGCGUGGCUCGACUGCUCGGCUGAAGUUGUAUCAGAAACCGCUAGGGUUUUCUGAUUCCUUCUUUGUUUUGGGCUCAUUGGACUAAAAGUUUUUAGGCUAGUGGGCUAGGUUAAAUUUAGGUUUUGGGUUAUACUUCAUUUAUUGAGGGCCUUUUUAACAAUUGCCAUCAUUAUUCGCGGGUGAUUUGGGGAUAAUAACUUGAACAUUUCAGGAUCACAUUCAAUUCAAUUUUUAAAUUUUAGAGAGAUGUUUGGGUUACAACAAUUGCCAUCAUUAUGUUUAAUAGAACACUUGGGAGGAAAAGGAACAAAAAAAUGAGCGAAAACCGAAAAAUGGGGGCAAACUAUAGGACCCACACGGGCUGACCUAUUCCACUUGACUUUGUGACCCUCACGGUCGCGUGGCAAACCACGUCAAUUUCAUAGAUUUGCACUUUGAACUGCGAAAAAAUACGAAUUUUAGGCUUUUCGAGCAUUCUAAGAUGCAUAUAUGACACAAAUAAGGAGAUAGGAGAGAACCUUCCUAGAAUAUUCAAGAAAACAACUCCAAAGACACCACUAAAGCCGACUCUGAAGCAAAUUUUCAUUAAGAUGGAAGAUUUCUAAUUGAUUUCUUAGGAGAUUAUCAUGAGUUUCUUUAUUCAUUUCAGUUAUACUGCCCUUUGAAUGUUUUUAUUUUUAAUCAUGAACUAAAUUUCUAAAUACCUAAGAGAGAUGAACCCUAUGAUAGAUUGUAACACCCCAAAGCCGACUGGCACAGACCGGCCCAAAUUCGAAACAUUACAUUAGCCACCUAAGUAACUUUCUAGCUAACGACCACCCAAGACACACCCUAACCUUGUAACACCUCAAUCUUAUCUAAUUAUUAGUUAUUUAUUAAUGGCAAAGUAAAUUAUAAGCCAAUUUUGAACUUUUUCUAGGUAAUUUAACCUAAGAGCAUUUAAGUCAUUUUACCACCUAUGGUAAAACUAACCCUGUAAUAGCCAAUUUUGGAUGGCCCGAUAAUAAAAAGUCCAAAAAUCAAAGUCCACAUAGUUGAAUUACAUAAAUUGACCCAAUACACAAACCAAAACUAAACAUCUAGCCCGAAUAGCCCAAUAACCAAAAAAAUAAUAAGCCCAAAACCCCAGGCCCAAUAAACUCUGACCUGAUUUGAAGAACACUCCAGAAACCCUAAGGGUUCCUGGAACCUUUCAGCCACCACAGCAACCAGGGCCCUUCCUCGCAUGUGUAGCGCCUCCGCGCACGUGCGCCUCCUCUAGCUGGCUCCUGCAACAGAACACACGAGCAGCAACAACAAGUAAAGCAAGGGAAAAAUAGAAUAACAGCAAAAAAGAAUAAAAUAAUAGAAAAAAAGAUGUAAAAUAAUUUCUGUAAUUUUUAUUAUUCGGCUAUAUAAAGUCAUUGGUGAUACUGUAAAAAAGGAUUACGGAUUCAAAAGAAAAGAAAAAAAAUCAAAUAGCAUUAUAUUUUUAAUGUUGUUUCUGAUUUCUACUUCUUUUUUCUUUUUCCUUUGAUUUGUUUAUAUUUGCUGAUUAAAAGAUAAAAAAAGGGGAAGUUCUUACUUACAUAUUGCCCUGCCGGAGCCUUCAUCCCUUCUGUUUCAAAUCGGAAUUGGGUGGGCAAUGGUCUAAUUGAAAACGGCACACAGAGGGUAGAUUUUAGGGAAAUAGUCAUUUUCACUUAAUUAACCAUGCAAACAUCAAAAUUUCUCAAUGAAAUUUUACUACGACCUUAAUAAAAUCCUGUAGACAGUAAAUAAAUAAUAAAAUAUUAAUUUACUUGUCAAAAUUGUGGUCUCAAAACCAUUGUUCUGAUAUAACUGAAAACGUGCUGUUACCACUCUCCCCCUAAAGGAAUUUUUGUCCCCGAAAAUCUAACUAGAAAAUAAGUUCUGGUAUUGUACUUUCAUAGCUUCUUCUGGUUCCCAGGUAGCCUCUUCUAUUUUGUGACGUUUCCAAAAAAAUUUAACUAAAUCUGUACUUUUAUUUCUCAAUUCUUUAACUUCCUAAGCUAAAAUUCUAAUUGGUUCUUCACUGUACGUCAUACCUAGCUGGUUAUCAACAUCUGCUGGUGAAAUCACGUGUGAAGGAUCUGAUUGAUAUCAUCGUAAUAUUGAUACAUGAAAUAAAUUAUGAAUAUUCUCUAACUUUGACAUCAAAGCCAAUUGAUAAGCUACUGGUCCAAUCCUCUUAAUGAUCUUAUAUGGACCGAUAAAUCGCAGACUAAGCUUUUCUUUUCGACAAAAAUGGAGAACUUUUCUCCAAGGCGGUACUUUUAGAAAUACUUAGUCCUCGACUUGAAACUCUAUAUCUUUUUUUGUUCAAAUCUGCAUAAGAUUUCUGACGAUCAGAAGUAGCUUCAAAUUGUCACGUAUCACUUAACCUUUACUUUGGUUUCUCAAAUCAAAUCAACACUGAAUAACUUUUUCUUGAUCAGCUCCAAUAUAACAGAGUUCGACAUUUCUGACUAUAUAAAGGUUCAUAUGGUGCCAUUUUAAUGCUCACCUAAUAACUGUUAUUGUAUGGAAAUUCAACCAAUAGUAGAAAUCUCUUCUAGUUACCUUCAAACUCUAAAAUACAACAUCGGAGCAUGUCUUCAAGUAUCUAAAUUACUGGCCAAGACUGGCCAUUAGUUUGUGGAUGAAAUGCUGUAUUGAAAUGCAGUCGAGUAUCCAGAGCUUCAUGUAACUUACCCUAGAAUCUAGAAGUAAAUUGUGGAUUUCUAUCAGAGAUAAUGGAUACCGGCACACCUUGUAAUUUGACAAUCUCAAAAACAUACAAUUCUACCAACUUCUGAAAUGAAAAAUCCAUACGCACUGGAAUGAAAUGUGUGAAUUUCAUCAAAUGAUCUACAAUAACCCAAACAACAUCUUUUUUUCUCAAAGAUAGAGGCAAUCCUGAUACAAAAUCCAUUGUAACAUGUUAGACUUUUGUUAGGUAACUAAUGGAAGAGUGAUAAAAAUAUUUAAAUUUGAAAAUUUGAGUUGCUAAAAAGAAAAGUUCAUAAUUAGGUGAUCAAAAUAGAAUGAAUUGAAUAGUUGUGAGACUAUUCUUGUACUUUACCCUUUAAUUACUUUUUUUUAUGGAUAUGUAUUAUUAAUUUUAAAUUUAUAAUAAUGCAUUGCUAAAUAAUUGCAAAAAAAAAUUAUAGACAUUAAUUUUUUGGAGAGGAUAGGCAUCUCUAAAUAAUGAUUAUUUAGAGUUGAAAAUUGUCCAUAAAUAUUUUUGGCAAUUUGUUUUUGAGGUGUAUGGUUGAUAAAGUAUGAUCGAUAGAUUAUGAAGUGAAGCUAAAUGUGUGUUUGACUGGGUGAAAUGUAACACCUUAAACUCAGCCUAGACGUUACGACCAGAUCAGGAAGUGUUACGUAAUUGUUUGAAAAUUCAGUUCUCAUAUAAUUUUGGAAUCCGUUUUGAAUUCUUAAAAUUUCAAAUUAUUUGAAAACAUUCUUUGUCUAGCUAUUUUGUUGAAAACACUAUUUGCUUAUAUUAUAAAACUCAUAAUUUUGCAGCGGAAAAUUCUUUAGCAUUUUUUUUAAAAUGCUAUCCUUAUUUCUUGAAAUUCAUUACUUUUGUAGGAAAUAAAAGUGAUUUUUAUUGAUAAAAUAUUUUAACGACAUUUUAUGUAAAUCGAAAAUAAAAACCUCAAAAACAAAUCAGAACAGUCAAAAAGUCCAAAAUUUACAAAACACCAAAAUUCCCAAAUUUUAAAUAAUUAAAAUAAAUGCAAUAUCUUUUAUAACCGAGCUACCCUCGCACCGACCCGCCUAAGUUUGAGGAUUACUUGAAAGUAUCAUUUAAACAGAAAGUGAGUUUAUGAAACUCAGUGUAAAACAAUUAACUUAAAACAGUUAAAGCAUAUCAAACAAAUUUAACAGUAUCAAAGUCUUAACAAAACAAUACAGAUACAUAUUUAUUUUUCCUACCCCCAUCUGCUACACACCAUCUCCGACCAUCCCAACACACCAUAUGGGGUAUAAAACACCCAUCUAACCCUACACAUCACUUAGUGUCGUUUAAGAAACUUACAGAAGAAUCGUAGUUGCACUACCAGAUAAAUAGGUGAAUUAUCACCUUUUCAAAUAUACUUCCUCCACAUAGUAAAACCCAUCAUAAUAACAGAUACAGUACAUAUCAAUAAUCAGUAAUAAGCAUAACACAUACAUAUAGCAUCGAUGCAUAACAUAUAUAUAGUACUUUUACCAGUUUUCCUAUAGCCCAUUACAUAAUUUACUCGUCAUAUGCAGCUUCAGAUACAGAACAAAUAUCAAAAUUCAUGCGAACAGAUGACUAACUUUUUAUAUUUUUUAGUCCAUUUAAGCACAUAUUGACCCCAUGGAAGACCCAUAGUCGAUCUAAGUGACGUGAACGGUCCUGAGGAAAGUUUUAGAAUGUUGGGCCCAUACGCCCUGUGUAGCCUACAUGGCCCAAAUUGCUCAAACCGUGUGUCACACACGGUCCAACACAUGGCCUGUCACACAACCAUGUGUUGCACAUGGCCUACCAUAGGACCUAACACAUGACCGUGUGGCUCUGUUCGCUGAUUUUCAAGUUUCUCGUUACACUUCUGAUUCUAUUUUAACACGAAAGCAGCCACAAGAUAACCAUUACCUAAUACGAAAACCAAAUCACCAAAUGAGACAAUUUUUCUCAAACCCGAUUUACAAAAUCAAUUUUACCAAUAACAAAGUUAAUGAUGAAAUUCAGUCCAAAUCUCCAACCUUGAUUCUUACCCUCAAGAAAAAGUAGUCCAAAUAACGAUUCUAAGUCGUCGAGUAACUAAUCGCCUUGUGAACUACACCUAAAACCAAAACAAUUGAUUAACAUCGAUAAAUCACACCAACCAGAACUCAACAUAAUCGAAGCUAACGAAGGCAAGAUUCCAUAACAGAAGAGAAGUAGGCAAUACUUAUGCACGAAUCAAAUUACACUUAACAUAGCAGAGUAUCCACCACCGAUUUGGAAAGGCAUAAAGAACAACAUUCAAGAAUGAACAAAAGAUUGAGAAAAGAACAAGAGCAGGAAAAAGAAACGAAAAUUGAGGGCCUUCUCUACUAAAAUCCACGUGAAAGAAAAGAAAGUAAUAAAGAAAAAAAAAUAGAACCAGAAAGCAAAAAAAUCGAGAACAUGUAAACAAAUGGGAGCAAAAAUUGGGGAUUGAAAUUAUUUUAAUCAAUUAAUUCCCUGCCAUUUAAAAAAACAAUAAAAUAAAAUAAAUAUCUUAAUAACCACCCACUAAACUUAGAUAAGUACCCAGAUUCUUUUCAAGAAUUUGAAUUUAAUCUAAACUUAUCCACUUGAAUAACACAAAGCAUAAAAUAUUUCGCUUGCUUGCAUGGAAGCUUGAAUACAUGACCAAUGAGUACUCAAGAAUUUAACCACUAAACCAGUAAAUUUAUUCUUGUCAUAGAUUUAAUGAUAAUAAUAUUUAAGCUGGAUAAACAGAGAUAGACUUAGAAACAAAAAUAAUUGAAAUUUUCUAAAGAAGUGCAACUUAAACCCAAGACCUCAAACUCACAAGACACUUCACCACUAAAACAAACACUUUCUAAUGACAAAUUUUAUCAAAUUAUGUAUACGAAAUUUGGGGUGUUACACGGAAAGUGGAGGGAUGGGAGGAAGGAGUGAACAAGUGGAAAAAAAAUAAAUUUUGAGUAUGCUUAAUUGAAAAGAAAGUGAGAGGAAAGAAGAUAAGAGAAAUGAUCAUUUUCCAUUCCAAUGAAUAAAAAUGAAUCAUUCCAAAUUGGAAAGAUGAGAUGAAAGAAAAUGAGAAAUAUGUGUAUGAUAGUUUAAAAGAAUGUAUUUUUGAAAUGAUUUAUUUUCUUUCAUUUCAUUUUUUCAACUCUACCAAACAAUGAAUGGAACUGGAGUAAAAAUUAAAAGUAGAAAACUAGAAGAAUGAAAAAAUAAUUUUUAUUUUUAUUUUUCUAUUUUUCCUACCAAACACAUCUAUGAAAUUUUCCACCCGUUAAAUCUUCCAUUCUUUCAAUUUUUGUUACAGUCUAGAAAGCAAAACUUUAAUGUUGAAAAUUUAAUUCCAUAGCAGAUAGAUUACGAAGUGAAACUAAACGCUAAAAUGAUUAUAUUAUGAAUAUGAAAUCUCCAUUAAUUCUGAAACUGUAUUACCAAUGGAGAAGUAUUGAUUUCUAAUUGUAAAAAUGUGAAGAGAACAGGUUUACUUUUACAAGUAAGAAUUUUUUGAGCAUCCUUCAUAUUUUUACAAUUAAAAGCCAACUCCAUAGUCAAUUUGCUUUGAGAAUGAACUGUGUAUCUUCAAGACUUCCAGCUUCAGUACAGAUUAAGUUGAGCAUUGGAUGAACUUGCCAAGGCUUCUCAGACCAUUGCACUUCUUCCACUAUAUUCAGCAUUUCUUGAAAAUAUUCAUGCAACACUAUUGGUAACAUGGAUUUCUGACAUUAGAAAAGUAGCAAAAUUUGUGGAACUUUGAUAGCCCCAUUGACAAUAAGGAAUGAUGGGUUCCAUUCUUCUUAUUAAUCUCCCUUUUUUCCCCUUGAUUAAGCACUGGUUAUUUGAAAGCAAAACACAUAGUUGGAUUAGAUUGUAAAAUUAGCACCUAAAAACAUAAUUUUCAUUUUAGCACAGGGUGAUUUAGAUGAAACAACUCUAAUUUUUAAAACAAAUGCUGAACACACAUUAACUGAAAGGAACAAACCUGAAGAGGCAAGGAAGCUCAACCAAGACCACUGUGAUCUAUUUGUCUCAACAUUAAACAAUUAAAGAAGAUUAGAUAGAAACUUAGAGAACACUUCCAAAGAUAUAAGCUUUCUUCAAUUCAUCAAACGAUUACAUAAAUUUCUUAAAUUGCAAUCAAACAUAACAAACCUUAUACUUGACUAAAAGUAAACCAGCUUCCCCAUCAUUUAGGCUUCUCUACCAAGCAAUGUUUCAAAUGUUAUAAGGCUCAGCAUGGAACUCAUGGAUAGGUUUUAGGAGGCCUCUCUGAUACAGAAACAAUAUGAAGUGCAUUAACAGAUCAACAACUCCUAUUGGUAGGAAAUUCAAACAUCCUUAGUUUAAGAAAAUUACAUUUUAAUAGAUCAAAUUCAGUAUAGAAUAUCUUUACCUUGUUCUUAGCUUGGCGCCUUUGACUUGUCAGCCAUCUUACAAUACGAUUCAAUUGCUUUAACUCACCCUCUGGGGUUCGAUACCUCAAAAACUUUUAACGCCAAUGACAAGAUAACAAAUAAUUUAACAAGUAAAUGAAAUUGAAAUGCAUACCUUAAAACUCCUUUUUGGUACAAAAGUAAAAACACAUUUUACAGAAAAGAAAGCAAGGAAAAAUCCAAAUAUAGAAGUACAACAAUGUUGAAAUCCCAAGAAAAGAUAAAAGAACAUAAAAAUUAACAAACACAAGCAACUAAGUAGACAAAUAAUCAGUCUAACACAUAGAAAUAACUUAAUCCCUCAAUGCUAUCAUAGAGUGAAAUUGUUGGAAGGGUCUGCUUCUGCUGUUAGUUCUGCUGUUGAGAGACUUGCAAAGAGAUAUCCUAGUACACAAGGGCAAAUGAGUGAGCAAAGAGUUUACGUAUUAUAUAUAGAACAUGAUUCAUCGAGGAUGAAUCUUAUAUAUAUAUAUGGUUAAAAUACAAAAAUGAAAUUAAAUAUGGAGUUAAACACAUACCAAAAGUAAGUUAAUAACCACAAGCAUACUCAUCGUUCGAUGAUGUUUAGAAACCUUUGUUUGAUCUUCUUUAGCUCAAACACAACAUCCUUCAUAUCUUUUCUUUCUUCUGGCAACUCAGCUGAACAAUCCAAAGCUAACUCCAUGAUAGAAGAAAUACAAUUUGUGUUGGUGCAAGAGGCAGCAGCAAGCUGAUUUCAGCUUUGCUUAAACAGCAAGUCUCGAGGCUUGCAGCAGAAACAAUCAAGGAAGAAAAACUUACAAUGGAAAACAGAAAAGAAAGAGAGAGAUUUGAAUGAAAAUGAGCUAAAUUUUCAUUAACAUUUUUAAGAAGGCAUGAUGCCAAUACAUAUAAGGGAUUACAAUAGCAAAACAAACAAGUUACCACCUAAUAACUUACCUAACACCACAAAUUUGCCUAGUAACUUGGUAAACUUGUUUGAAUACAUAAACAGCUACCUAAACUUGUCAUUCAUGACUUAAUUACAUCAAAAUGCAGCUACCAACUAAGUUUGAUCCUAACUAAAUACAAAACAUUCAUUUAAAGAAACUAAAUGAAUAGCUUCAGCUUGCUGCACCAAUUUGCUGUUGAAGCACGUUCCCUGCAUGGCCACCUUUGCUGCUGCAUGGGAGCUGACUUCAACACUCCUCCUCAGCUUUUAUGCAGCAGACUCCUAGUUCCCUCUUUAGGCUUAGAAAUCUUGAUACACCAAGAGACUUUGUGAAGAUAUCAGCAAUCUGAUUUUCAGAGCUGCAAUGAAUCAGCUCAAUUUCUCGAGCUUGUUCCAUCUCCCUUAUCACAUGUAGUUUAAUAUCGAAGUGUUUUGUCCUACCAUGGAAGACAGGAUUUUUGGCAAUAGCAACUGCUGACUUGUUGUCACAAUGUAUCACAGUUGCUUCAUUCUGCUGUAGGUUUAAAUCACUCAAAAUUUUUCUCAGCCACACAGCUUGAUUAACAGCAUUAGCAGCUGCUACAUACUCAGCUUCAGCUGUUGACUGAGCCACCAUUGUUUGUUUUCUUGAGCUCCAACAAAUCAUUGCAGAGCCAAGUGUAAAAGCAUAACCAGAGGUGCUCUUCAUGUCAUCUUUUGAACCAGCCCAAUCGCUAUCUGUAUAGCCAAUCAAUUUCAACUCCUUGACCCUUUUGAAACAUAUACCAUGGUUCAAGGUACCUUUGAUAUACCUCAGAACCCUUUUUCCUGCUUUGUAAUGCUGCUGAUUACAGCAAUGCAUGAAUCGUGACAGCAUGCUCACAGCAAAUAGAAUAUCAGGUCUUGUUGCUGUCAAAUACAACAAACAGCCAAUAAGGCUUCUAUAAUCUGUUUCACAGACAGAUUCAUGUUCCUCUUGGCUCGAUAGCUUCAUGCCAAUAGCCAUUGGUGUGCUCAUUGGUUUACAAUUCUCCAUUGAGAAUUUAGCCAGCACUUUCAAGGCAAAUGUCUUUUGUUUCAAGAGGAUUCCUCCUUCUACUUGAUUGACUUCUAAGACAAGGGCUCUAGAUACCAAUAAUUUGCUUUAAUAACAAAAUUAUCAUCCUCUCUUCUUAAUAAAUCAGCAUCCACAAUGUCUAUCAUUCCUUCAGAUAAUAAUCUUUUCACCCAAUGCCUUAUGGUCAUUUCAUCACCAAAAAUUUCAUCUGUUGGCCUUUUCCUAGUGAAAGUUUCUAUGAGGACAAUUCCAUAACUAUAGAUGUCACAUUUUAUAGAAACAAUUCCCGUUGAUCCAAAUUCUGCAUUUUAAGCAUAAGUAAUCCUGGAUUAUUUCUAAUAUGUUUACCACUAUAUAUAGACAUACACAAAAAAUAAUCAUUAAUUAAAAAAACUCAAAAAUUCACCUGGUGCCAUAUAACCAAUAGUUGCAAGAGUCAUGGUUUGCUUCACUACAUCACCUUCUCCCAACAAUUUCGCAAUGCCAAAAUCUCCCACAUGAGCAACCAUGUCUUCAUCUAGUAGAAUAUUGCUUGGUUUUAGGUCACAAUGAAUUACAGGUGUUGGAUGUCCAGUGUGGAGAUAUUUUAGAGCAGCCGCAACAUCUACCAUUGUGUUGAUCCUUUGUAUGAUAUCAAGGAAACAACUGUUUGAAUGUAACCAUUUCUCAAGAUUUCCAUUAGACAUGAAAUCAAGCACCAAGGCUUUGAAGUCAACAUUGGAGCAGCAAGUAAUGACCUUGACAAGAUUACGAUGAACUAUGUUACGCAUAGCUUCACAUUCAAUGUCAAAGCUCCUAAAUGCUCCUUCUAUUUGCAAAUUGAAAACUUUUAUUGCAACUUCCAUUCCAUCCGAAAGCCUCCCUUUAUAUACAUAUCCAAAACUUCCUGAACCAAGCAUAUUGUGCUCCUCAAAUCCACUAGUUGCCCGUGAAAGUUCGGCAUGUGAAAUUCUUCUCCAUGUUCCCAAACAUAGUGAAUCAUCCGUAAUUGGUAGAGUUGUACUCCUAAUUCGGAAUCUUCUAUAUAUAAUAACUAAGACUAGUAGUAACAUGACAAUACAAAUUAUUGGUAAACCGUACCUUAAAUCAUGCAAUACACCCAUCUUGGAAUUUUUGCGGAUGUCAUUUUUGCAAGGUGGGACUAGCAAUCUUGGUGGACCACAAAGUGCAUAAUUCUUCAUGAAUGAUGUGCUUGGAAAGUUUGGAAAACAUCCUUUGCUAGGAAUUUCCCCUUCAAGUCUAUUGAAGGACACAUUAAAAUACUUUAGAUAUAAAAGCUUUUCC